rnacentral:rRNA from 1 species
CCUACGGGGUGCAGCAGUCGAGAAUCAUUCACAAUGGGGGAAACCCUGAUGGUGCGACGCCGCGUGGGGGAAUGAAGGUCUUCGGAUUGUAAACCCCUGUCAUGUGGGAGCAAAUUAAAAAGAUAGUACCACAAGAGGAAGAGACGGCUAACUCUGUGCCAGCAGCCGCGGGAAUACAGAGGUCUCAAGCGUUGUUCGGAAUCAUUGGGCGUAAAGCGUGCGUAGGCUGUUUCGUAAGCCGUGUGUGAAAGGCGCGGGCUCAACCCGCGGACGGCACAUGAUACUGCGAGACUAGAGUAAUGGAGGGGGAACCGGAAUUCUCGGUGUAGCAGUGAAAUGCGUAGAUAUCGAGAGGAACACUCGUGGCGAAGGCGGGUUCCUGGACAUUAACUGACGCUGAGGCACGAAGGCCAGGGGAGCGAAAGGGAUUAGAUACCCUUGUAGUC